CCUACGGGUGGCAGCAGUGGGGAAUAUUGGACAAUGGGGGGAACCCUGAUCCAGCGACGCCGCGUGAGUGAAGAAGUAUUUCGGUAUGUAAAGCUCUAUCAGCAGGGAAGAAAAUGACGGUACCUGACUAAGAAGCCCCGGCUAACUACGUGCCAGCAGCCGCGGUAAUACGUAGGGGGCAAGCGUUAUCCGGAUUUACUGGGUGUAAAGGGAGCGUAGACGGCAGCACAAGUCUGGAGUGAAAUGCCGGGGCUUAACCCCGGAACUGCUUUGGAAACUGUGCAGCUAGAGUGCAGGAGAGGUAAGUGGAAUUCCUAGUGUAGCGGUGAAAUGCGUAGAUAUUAGGAGGAACACCAGUGGCGAAGGCGGCUUACUGGACUGUAACUGACGUUGAGGCUCGAAAGCGUGGGGAGCAAACAGGAUUAGAUACCCGAGUAGUC
rnacentral:rRNA from 1 species